rnacentral:tRNA from 1 species
GGGGUUGUGGCUCAGCGGUAGAGCACUCGCCUCACAUGUGCGAGACCCUGGGUUCAAUCCUCAGCACCACA